rnacentral:rRNA from 1 species
GUGGGGAAUAUUGGGCAAUGGGGGCAACCCUGACCCAGCGACGCCGCGUGAGGGAAGAAGGCCUUAGGGUCGUAAACCUCUGUUGUGUGGGAAGAAGGAAGUGACGGUACCACACGAGGAAGUCCCGGCUAACUACGUGCCAGCAGCCGCGGUAAUACGUAGGGGACGAGCGUUGUCCGGAAUUACUGGGCGUAAAGGGCGCGUAGGCGGUCAUUUAAGUCAGCUGUGAAAUGGUCCGGCUCAACCGGAUCAUGCGGUUGAAACUGGAUGACUGGAGUGCUGGAGAGGCAAGUGGAAUUCCCAGUGUAGCGGUGAAAUGCGUAGAUAUUGGGAAGAACACCGGUGGCGAAGGCGACUUGCUGGCCAGCAACUGACGCUGAGGCGCGAAAGCCACGGGAGCAAACGGGAUUAGAAACCCCUGUAGUCC